rnacentral:SRP_RNA from 1 species
GCUCGGCCCCUCCGCGACGACAAGUUGUGAACCCCGUCAGGCCUGGAAGGGAGCAGCGGUAGCAGUGGACUCGGGUGCCGGAAUAAGGCUGGCCAGU